GUACUCGAUUCAGCAGAAUAUAUACUAAAGCUGAACUGAUACAGAGAAAAAACAGCAUGGCCCCUGCUCAUGAGUGAUAGGCAAAUUCAUGAAGAGUGAGUUCCAUGCUUUC